AACGAACGCUGGCGGCGCGCUUAACACAUGCAAGUCGAACGAGAAGGCGUAGCAAUACGCUUGUACAGUGGCGAACGGGUGAGGAAUACAUGGGUAACCUACCCUCGAGUGGGGGAUAACCCGCCGAAAGGCGGGCUAAUACCGCGUACGCUUCCGAUCUUGCGGGAUUGGAAGGAAAGCUGUCCCUUGGGGAUGGCGCUCAAGGAUGGGCUCAUGUCCUAUCAGCUUGUUGGAGGGUAACGGCCUACCAAGGCAUCGACGGGUAGCUGGUCUGAGAGGACGAUCAGCCACACUGGCACUGCGACACGGGCCAGACUCCUACGGGAGGCAGCAGUGAGGAAUAUUGCGCAAUGGGCGAAAGCCUGACGCAGCGACGCCGCGUGGGGGAGUGAA
rnacentral:rRNA from 1 species